AGCCCGUCCCACAGGCAAAUCCGUGGGGCGCGUGGGCGAGGUGCGAUGAUGGGCGCCGCAGGGCGCGAUAUCCGGUGAUCCCGGCUGCCGAGAAAAGCUUCGGCGUGAGGCGGCGUGCCGCCCGUACCCCAAACCGACACUGGUGGUCAGGUAGAGAAUACCAAAGCGAUCGAGCGAAUCCUGGUCAAGGAACUCGGCAAAUCACUCCCGUUCCUUCGGUUUAAGGGAGACCCCCGAUGGUGAAGCGGCUUGCCCGUGGAGCUUUUGGGGGUGGCACAGACCAGGGGGUAGCGACUGUUUACCAAAAACACAGGAGCGUGCGAAGGCGCAAGCCGCUGUAUACGCUCUGACGCCUGCCCGGUGCCGGAAGGUUAAGAGGAUCCGUCAGGCUUCGGCCGAAGCGGUGAAUUCAAGCCCCGGUAAACGGCGGUGGUAACUAUAACCAUCCUAAGGUAGCGAAAUUCCUUGUCGGGUAAGUUCCGACCUGCACGAAUGGCGUAACGACUUCCCCACUGUCUCGACCAGGAGCUCGGCGAAAUUGCAGUACGAGUAAAGAUGCUCGUUAAGCGCAGAAGGACGAAAAGACCCCGGGACCUUUACUAUACCUUGGUAUUGGCAUUCGGUGUGGAUUGUGUAGCAUAGGCGGAAGGCUUCGAAGCCACGGCGCCAGCCGCGGUGGAGCCGCAAGGUGAAAUACCGCUCUGUUCGCAUUGGAUGUCUAACCUCGACCAGUCAUCCUGGUCAGGGACAGUGCCUGGCGGGUAGUUUAACUGGGGCGGUUGCCUCCCAAAGAGUAACGGAGGCGCUCAAAGGUUCCCUCAGCCCGGUUGGCAAUCGGGUGGCGAGUGUAAGUGCACAAGGGAGCUUGACUGCGAGACUGACGGGUCGAGCAGGGACGAAAGUCGGAACUAGUGAUCCGGUGCCGGUGUACGGACGCGGCAUCGCUCAACGGAUAAAAGGUACCCCGGGGAUAACAGGCUGAUCAUUCCCAAGAGUCCAUAUCGACGGGAUGGUUUGGCACCUCGAUGUCGGCUCGUCGCAUCCUGGGGCUGGAGCAGGUCCCAAGGGUUCGGCUGUUCGCCGAUUAAAGCGGCACGCGAGCUGGGUUCAGAACGUCGUGAGACAGUUUGGUCUCUAUCCUCUGCGCUCGUCGGAAUGUUGAGGAGGCCUGCCCAUAGUACGAGAGGACCUGGGUGGACGAACCUCUGGUAUGCCGGUUGUCACGCCAGUGGCACGGCCGGUUGGCUACGUUCGGAAGGGAUAACCGCUGAAAGCAUCUAAGCGGGAAGCCUGCUCCAAGAUAAGCAUUCCAUAGGACUACGGGUCCUUGAAGUCCCCAUGCAGAACACGUGGUUGAUAGGCCGGACGUGGAAGCCCCGCGAGGGGUGGAGCCGACCGGUACUAACGGACGAAAGGCAACACAA
rnacentral:rRNA from 1 species